GGAGCGGUAGUUCAGUCGGCUAGAACGCCUGCCUGUCACGCAGGAGGUCGCGGGUUCGAGUCCCGUUCGCUCCGCCA
rnacentral:tRNA from 1 species